rnacentral:misc_RNA from 1 species
GUAGGUGAACCCGCGGAAGGAUCAUUACAGAGUUUAUGCCCUUACGGGUAGAUCUCCCACCCUUGAAUAUUAUACCUUCUUUGCUUUGGCAGGCCGUGGAAACACCAUGGGCUCCGGCUGAUGCGUGCCUGCCAGAGGAAACAAAACUCUGUUUUUAGUGAUGUCUGAGUACUAUAUAAUAGUUAAAACUUUCAACAACGGAUCUCUUGGUUCUG